AGUUGAGCUAGACUCUGGCUUUCACAGGCAGCGAGAUCAAGGGGGGGAGGAAAAGUCUCUCCUUUAAAAAAAAAAAAAAAAAAAAAGCGAUUUAAGCCCCUUUCCAGCGGCGCUUUCAAAACUAGAACUGCGAAGCUGGCUUCGGUUCGCGAUCCUCCUCUCUGGCUCCGGGCUGCGCGCAGAGUCUGGGUGGCGAGCGAAUGGUGCCUGCGAUCUUCUGCCUCGGGGAGCCGGCUGUCUUCCUUGUGCUAAAAAAACGGAGGAAGUCUGUCUGCCACAGGGCAGAGGGUGGUAUCCAAAGGGUCUCCUCUCCUUGAGUGACUGGUUCCUCCAUUGGAUCUCAGCUCGUAGCUCCUGACCUCAAGCAAGUGCUACUGAAGUGGAAAUGUCUUAUAUCCUGUUUUGUGAUUCCCUGCCUCAGAGCUGAGUCACCCCUGCCUGAAGAAAGGAUCCUUCAUCCCAAGGCUCACUCACUUCCUAUCCAAGCCAUCUCAAGUGAAGACCCAAAGAUCUUCAACCAAGCUGGGCAAGUGUUCAACCAUUGAGCUACACCCCCGACCCUCCCUUCCGUUUGGCUGCAACAAUAAACCAGUUGUGUCUAGGAGAUCCAACGCCGGUCAAGCCGCUCUACCCACUGAGCCAUCUGGCUGCCUGUCAAGAAGACAAACUUCUGUUGCGCAGUGCUCAGGCACCUGUGAAGACAGGAACUUGGGGAUGAAUGAGGAGAGAGCCUAGAGAGAAAGGGCCCUCGUCUGGCGCACAGAGUCCCUGAACAGAUUUGGACUGGCUUAGCAUGACCAGCAGUCUCAGCCAUAGACGCGUUCUCUCUCUCUCUCUCUCUCUCUCUCUCUCUCUCUCUCUCUCCUGCCUGUCCAGAAAUAGUUUCCGGGAACCGAGGUGCUUCCCCGCCAGCCAGCGGGGAGAUAAAGCUGCCCGUGUGUGUCGCUUGUCUUGGCUGCCUCUCAGUUGACACCUCUGACAGGCCGCUUUGAUCUCGGGUUAUCAAGGCCUAACCCCGAGCCUGGCCUGCUCUGCCAGCCCUCACUCACUGGGGAAAAGGGCAUUUCAGAAGGUCAGUUCGGGGAGGGGCAGGCUUCUCCUCAUGCCCAGCUGGCCUUGAAGCAUGGGUGCUGGAUGUAGGAAUUGUACCCAGUUUUACUCUGCAGCGGUGAUGGAUGGGGGGGCUGGAGGGAGAUGGGGGCAGGGUCUUGGCUGAGAAAUGAAGCAUUCAAGUGGUGCCUACA
rnacentral:lncRNA from 1 species